UACAAACUCUUUUUAAAAGUUUUAUAAAAUUCAGAAAUUGUUUUUAGUAAUUUUUAUAAAUGAUUUAUAAACUCUUAUUAAUUAUUUAUAUAUCCUUAUAAACCAUUAUAAACAAUUUUACAAACUCUUAUAAAUUGUUUCUAUAAGUCCUUAUAAAUUACUGUAGACUCUUAUAAAUGAUUUAAGAGACUUUCUAAUUAGUUCCUAAACCUAUAAACCUUAUAAAUUGAAUACAUAACCCAUAUUAAUUGUGUAUAUACUUUCAUAACGUUUUUAUAAACAAUUAUAAAUGGUUUAUAGACUUUAUUAAUUGUUUUAUAAACCUUUAUAAAUGUAAACAUUUAUAAAUGGUUUUGAGACUCUUACAAAUAAUAUAUAACCCUUUAUAAAUAGCUUAUAAACUUUACAAACUGUUUUAUAUAUUUUUAUAAAUUAUUUAUAAACUUUUAUUUUCUCUUAAGCUUUCUUUUCUCUUUAUUUUUAGCUUCUUUCAUGUUAUUGCCCUACAUCAUAUACUGCAAAAAGUAAAACCACAAAUCCUCGUUCCCCUUAGCUUUUCUUCAUUUUAUAUCCUUGUUAAACUAAUUGCACAACACUGUAAAAAUCCAUGUCAUCCAAGAUCAGGAUGUGUUGGGGUCACCAAAUGUUUGUAUUCCUCAGAGAAUCCAAAUAAUGUAUUAACCACAAGAUGUAACAAAGAAUAAACAACGUAUUAUAAGUCUCUCUAAUUUAUAAAUUUAUAAACCCCUAUAAAACUACAUUUAUAAUCGUUUAUAAAACACUUAACAUUAUUGACCAAGACACCGAUUAGAUAAUCACUUUUGGAUUGUCUAGUGGUUCUGUUCCAGCUUCAUAAAUCCUUGGAGGCAAUCAUGAAGAUGUGCAAGAUUCAUUGCUGUCUAACUGCAAGACGAAAUAAAAAGAUGAUGUUAAUUUUUAAUCGUGGUAUAAAGAUACCUUAUCCAAGCAUAAUGUUCAUGUAUUUCGGUAACAGUCUUACAAAUAACACAGCACAAGACUUCUCGAGUUCACACGUUUAUAUGUUGUUCUAUAGACAUAUAUGAUGAAUUCUUGUUUAAGAACUUCUUUUAUAAAACCUUGUAAAUCGGUGAGCUGUACUAUCAACAAUAUCCUAAAAUACAGAUUUAUAAGGGGUUAUAAUUCCUUAAUAUGCAAUGUACUAUCGGAAAAUCUCUCUCUUUACCGGAACUAUUCAGAUGACAAGUCCAAAUCAACCGUAUUCUAUUUUUGGAUAAACAGAAGGAAGAAAAUCCUAAAAUUACUUGAAACCCAGAUUUAUAAAGGAUUUUAAGUUGUCAAAAAAACUUCUUGAUAAAAAACUUCUUUUAUAAAAUCUUGUAAAUCGUUGAGUUGUAUUAUCAACAAUAUCCCAAAACCCAUAUUUAUAAAGAGUUAUAAUUCCUUAAUAUACAAUGUUCACUAUCGAAAAAUCUCUCUCUUAGCAGGGACCAUUCAAAUGACAAGUCCAAAUUAACCGUAUUCUAUUUUUGGAUAACAUAAAGGAGAAACCCCUAAAAUUACUUGAAACCCAAAUUUAUAAAGGGUUUUAAGUUGUCAAAACUCAAUAUUGUUCACUAUGGAAAUUGUUUCUCUUAUAUCGACAUGUUCAAAUGAGAAGUCUAAAGCAAACUUUUUUGAUUUUUUGAUAAGAGAAAGAACAAAAUCAAAUAUUUACUCGAUACAAACAAAAGAAUACAAAAAUUAGAGACAUACGAGUUGUGAAUCUUGAACAGGAAUCAACAUUUGAAGGCUUUGAAUCGCGAUUCUCUGUAAUCCGUUUUCGUCGCCGGUUGUGUGAGAGAGAGAGAUGGCGGAUCUCGACGGAGACGGCGGAUCUCGACGGAGACGGCGGAUCUCGACGGUAAGUCCAAGAGAAGAUGGAUCUCAAAAAGAGAGAGGAAAAGUCGAUGAUUGAGGAGAAGAUAAGGUAAGGGUACUAUUGUCUUUUGUUCAUUAAUGAAAGUGGUAUUUAUGAAAAUGUCCCUAAAUUAGUGGUAAAAUUGAAUAGUGGUAUCAAACAAAGUGUAAAAGUAAAAUUUCCCCUAGAUUCUUUUUGGUUAUUUUUGUUAAUAAUAUAUUUGAUUUUCUCAUAUAUGAAAAUACAAAGAUUUACAAAUAUUUUCAUAACUGCACUCUUCUGGAGAAGAAAAAGAAAAAUACCACAGAUUUAUUUGAUUUGAAAUGAAACAUUACAUGAAGAAAACAGAAACAGAAAAAAAAAAACAAAGAAGAAGAUACAAGAGUAGUCUGUAAAAGGGGAACACUACAACGGUACGAACUGAAUGUCAAAGGCAUAGUCGUUCGACAAUAUCAACCUCUGUAUACCAGAAUCUAGAGAAUCUAAACCGAUAGCCGUUGGUUUGUCAGCACUUCCGAAAGCAAACUGGUAUGAUACGCCAGACUUUUUUAUGGUGAAUGUGGUGUCAUUGCUUGACUUGGAUCCCGUCAAUACUAUUUCUCUGAUUGGCAAUGAGCUGUCUGCAACUCUCCAAUAACCCGACUCCUCGCAGUGAUUGGGAAAUUGGAAACGGAUUUUAAGCUCUGUUGACACACGUACCACAUCUGAAUCUGAUGACGUUGGUAUAAAUGUAACUUGUGAAUUUAUCAUUCGUAGUUCCCUUCCAUAAGAGAGCAAUACCACUCUUUGCGGGCAUGAAAAGCCAGAAGUUUCGAUGCUCCCGUAACGACAAAUCAGGGCAUUUGCUCCCGGUCGUUCGAAGUAGGCGUGAUACGGAGCAUAAAACUCAACUGGCCUCCCGAUAGUAUCAAGCACUAUUUCCUUCUCACCAGAAACAAAACCAGAUGCUGUUAUUGCAACCAGCAAGAAAGAUACCAUCAAACGGAAUAUUGUAGUUGCGCCACCAGCUGUUUUCAUCAUCAUCUCGUUUCUUGCUUUGUAAUAUGAGCGAUUUACACUCUAAGGCAGUUUACAAGUUUUAUUAUCACUCUAGAGCAGUUUGUGCUACUAGAGCAGUUUUUUGGUGAAAAGACUCAAAAUGCCCUCUUAAAAGUGUAACUAGUAAGUUAUUUUUUAGUUAGAAGAUUUUGGUUUGAUUAGAUUUUCGAAAUUCAAAAUUAGUGAUGGAUCCCAUAAAAGAUUAAACCUAAUUUUAUAUACAUAACUAGUAAAGUACCUUUUGUAUAUCUUCUCGUCUUCUUAGUUCUUUUUUUCUUUUCAAAUCUGGUUAUGCUAUUUUUUUUCCCGACGAUUGACUUUACAAUCCCUAAAAUCACUAGUCAUCCAAUUCUCAGAAAGUUGCUCAAAGAAGAAGCGAGACAACGGUGAAUUAUGGCAAAUGAGAAUCUCAGAAAGUUGCUCGGAGAAGGAUGUCGAGGAUACGCAACCGGCGUGGGAAAGAGAAGGACGGCGGAGCAGAAACGAUGGAGGCUGAUGAUGUUUUGGUGGUGAGAGACGCACUAAACGGAACGUCGGAGAUGUCUACCGAGCCGCCAGUGGUGGAAGAAUCCGACGAGCGACUACCGCCAGUGGUGGAAGAAUCUCAAGCACCAAUGGUCAAUUUUGACUUUUUUUGCACAUUUAAUCUUUCAGCUUUUGUAUAAUUUAGUUUUGGAGUACUCUUUGAUGAUAAUGUACACAUGUACACUCUGAUGGAUACAUCGGUUAAGGUGGACGUAUUAAAAAAAAAAACAAAAUGGCUAGUCAAGAAGAAGAUUGUACAUUCAUAUAUAUCUUGUACACGUACGCACUCUAAUAUAGUUGUCCACAUGAAACUGUGUAUGGUGGAUAUAUCAAAAAGAUAACAAAUAUGGCUUAACAUAUUUGAUGAUAAUGUACACAUGUACACUCUGAUACAGCGUGUAAAGUGGACAUAUUUGAAAAAAGAAAAAUACAAGAAUGGCUCAUCAAGAAAAAUAUUGUACACUCAGAUAUAUAUCUUGUACACGUACACAGUCAGAUAUAGUUGUCCACAUGAAAGUAUGUAAGCUGGAUAUUUCAAAAAGAUAACAAAUGUGGCUUUACAAAGAA